CCUACGGGGGGCUGCAGUGAGGAAUAUUGGUCAAUGGGCGCGAGCCUGAACCAGCCAAGUAGCGUGAAGGAUGACUGCCCUACGGGUUGUAAACUUCUUUUAUAAAGGAAUAAAGUGAGGCACGUGUCCCGUUUUGUAUGUACCUUAUGAAUAAGGAUCGGCUAACUCCGUGCCAGCAGCCGCGGUAAUACGGAGGAUGCGAGCGUUAUCCGGAUUUAUUGGGGUUAAAGGGUGCGUAGGCGGAUUUUUAAGUCAGCGGUAAAAUGUCCGGGCUCAACCCGGGCCGGCCGUUGAAACUGGGGAUCUGGAGUGGGCGAGAAGUAGGCGGAAUGCGUGGUGUAGCGGUGAAAUGCAUAGAUAUCACGCAGAACUCCGAUUGCGAAGGCAGCAUACCGGCGCCCGACUGACGCUGAGGCACGAAAGCGUGGGGAUCGAACAGGAUUAGAUACCCCUGUAGUC
rnacentral:rRNA from 1 species